rnacentral:rRNA from 1 species
UACGUAGGGGCAAGCGUUGUCCGGAUUUAUUGGGCGUAAAGAGCGUGUAGGCGGUUUGGUAGGUCCGUUGUGAAAACUCGAGGCUCAACCUCGAGACGCCGGCGGAACCAUCAGGCUAGAGUCCGGAAGAGGAGAGUGGAAUUCCGUGGUGUAGCGGUGAAAUGCGCAGAUAUCAGGAAGAACACCCGUGGCUAAGGCGGC